UUUUUAAUCAUUUUUCAAAGGAUUUGCUGCCUCACCUAUUAGUACUUUUUUGGUUUAAAUAUAUUUUAUUAUUCUAAAUUAUUUGACAUUUUUCACUUUGGUAAUUCAUUUUUAAAUUUUUUAAUUAAAUAAUUCAAUUAUUAAUUUGAUCCGAUUAAAGUUAUAACGUCAGAAAUUGCUAACAUAACUAUUUGGGUGAGAGAAAGCAACUGAUGUAGGUAAAAAAAAAUAAUUUUUUAUUUUGAAAUUAAACAUCAGUGAUAAGUAUAUUGAAGGUUAAAAUAUGAACACCACUUUCAUUUAUACAUUCAGAAACCCUAGUCUCAUAAAAUCAAAAUUUUCCAUGUUGAUAGUAAAUUCGUUCUUUCUCUCUCCUCUUCCACCGUCGCCUCCACCUCCUUCACGGCUCUGCCGUCGUAACUCAUCGAUGCCUCACUCUCCAUCGCCACCAGAUCCGACUCCCUCACUGAUCCCCCCAAAAAACCUCCGACCCAGCAAACCCAAACGGUGGCGAAAAGAUCGACCAAAUACCUAAAAGCAGAACAAUAAAACCAGAUACGAAAACAAGCAACAGCUCAGAUGAUAAUGAAUUUAACGAUGAAUUGUGCGACGCCACCGGGAAGGGCGAGAGACUUGAAGGAUAUGCAUAUGGGUAUGCCGUUUCUUCUUCUUCUCUUCCUUUUUUCUCAAAAUCGGAGAUGAUUUAUUUUCUGAUAGCAGUGAUUGAGCACAAACAUAUUUGGGUUGAUGGGUUUGUCCUUCCUCUUUUCUUUCACUUUCCUUAAUUAGGGAUGAGAGAUGAUAUUUUAUGAGUAAUAGGGCUUCAAGUGGUGGUGAUAAUGGAGUUUUCUAAUCGGUGGUGAUGGUGGAGUUUCUAAUCGGUGGCGGUCCACUGGUGGUGGAGAUAUUUUGGAUUUUUAUGGCAUACUGUUUGUGAAUAUGAUAAAUAAUGGUGUUUUUGUUAGUGAUGGAGUUGGUGGAUCGAUGACGCUGACCUUUCAUUCUCCCAUUUGAAUAUGAGUUUGUAUUUACUUUAAGAUUAAGUUAAAUUGAUUAGCUUGAUCAUAUUGGGUUUUUUAUUUUGAUUAAUUAAUUAAUUUUGUUUGGUCCAGACUAAAUGGGUGAGAAACUGAUUUGGUUUGAUUUUAUUAAUU
rnacentral:lncRNA from 1 species